UGAUGCUGAUCUUUGGGAAGCUCUAGAAAGGGCACAUUUGAAGGAUGCCAUAAGGAGGAAUACCUUUGGCCUGGAUGCUGAGGUUUCUGAGUCCGGGGAGAAUUUUAGUGUUGGACAAAGACAACUUUUGAGUCUUGCUCGGGCACUACUUCGAAGAUCGAAGAUUCUAGUUCUUGAUGAAGCAACGGCAGCUGUUGAUGUUAGAACUGAUGCUUUAAUUCAGAAAACAAUAAGGGAAGAGUUUAAAUCCUGUACAAUGCUCAUUAUUGCACACAGGUUAAAUACCAUCAUAGACUGUGAUCAGAUCCUUCUACUCGAUUCUGG
rnacentral:misc_RNA from 1 species